rnacentral:snRNA from 1 species
AGCCAUGUGGUGAGCACAAAGCGAACUAUUCUUUCGCCUUUUACUAAAGAAUACCGUGUGCUCUCAAAGCCAAGUGGUAUACGCCUAUUUUUGGAGGGUUCUUACUCAACAGUGAGAC